ensembl:lncRNA
GUCGAAGUAUAUUGCCUCAGUUGUUAACAGAUCCUUUCAGUUUUACUAUUAGUCUUCUGGAUAUUCUGGUACCAAUGGCAACUCUUUUCCUUGUGGUGUUGUAUUUCCUAUCAUUUCAAGGUAAGAUUUUCUAAUCUUAAUUCCAAAAAAUGAAAAUAAAAUAAUAUAUUAUUACGCAGUGAAUAGCCUACACUUGAAUUCACAAUUGGAAUAAUGUUGGGCCUACCUAUCGCGCAUGCUGGUUAGUUCAGAUUUGGAGGCU